rnacentral:rRNA from 1 species
UACGUAGGUGGCAAGCGUUGUCCGGAAUUAUUGGGCGUAAAGCGCGCGCAGGCGGCCUUUUAAGUCUGAUGUGAAAGCCCACGGCUCAACCGUGGAAGGUCAUUGGAAACUGAAAGGCUUGAGUACAGAAGAGGAAAGCGGAAUUCCACGUGUAGCGGUGAAAUGCGUAGAGAUGUGGAGGAACACCAGUGGCGAAGGCGGCUUUCUGGUCCGAUACUGACGCUGAGGAGCGAAAGCAUGGGGAGCGAACAGG